rnacentral:lncRNA from 1 species
GUGACCUGGAACCUUUGGGGGUUCUCUCAAGGCAGCACAAGGCCUUCACCUUGAACUCCAGGUCCCUCUGAGUCUGUCAGAGCUGACUGAAGCCCUGCCUGAGCUUUGUUCUUCUUCCUCAGGUGUUCAUCUUGGAAAUGUUGGUUGAGAAGAUCUUUGACCUAGCGUUUAUGCCCGCAAUGAAUGCUAUACUGGGUUCUGGAGUCCCUCUGCCCAAAAUCCUCAACAUUGACUUCAGCAACGCCGACAUCGACGUGUUGGAGGACCUUCUGGUGCUGAGCACAUGAGUGACAGAGGUAGACAACGUGAGAAGAAGUCAACCAGCUUCAGGGAGGAUUGUCCUGGACACCGGCCUGGUCCCAAGUCUCUUCAGCCUUCACCACAGGUCCCCUCCCACCCUCCCACCCUUUCCUCCUCCUGCCCUCAGCCUGGGAAAGGAUCCAGCCACUCCCCAUUGGCCAACAAUGCCAUGCUCAGGACAGCCUGGGGACUGAGAUCUUGUGCUUUCAAUAAAACAUUUCACUUUCCCUGCA